GACGAACGCUGGCGGCGUGCCUAAUACAUGCAAGUAGAACGCUGAAGCUUGGUGCUUGCACCGAGCGGAUGAGUUGCGAACGGGUGAGUAACGCGUAGGUAACCUGCCUGGUAGCGGGGGAUAACUAUUGGAAACGAUAGCUAAUACCGCAUGAUAUUGAUUAUUGCAUGAUAGUCAAUUAAAAGGUGCAAUUGCAUCACUACCAGAUGGACCUGCGUUGUAUUAGCUAGUUGGUGAGGUAACGGCUCACCAAGGCAACGAUACAUAGCCGACCUGAGAGGGUGAUCGGCCACACUGGGACUGAGACACGGCCCAGACUCCUACGGGAGGCAGCAGUAGGGAAUCUUCGGCAAUGGACGGAAGUCUGACCGAGCAACGCCGCGUGAGUGAAGAAGGUUUUCGGAUCGUAAAGCUCUGUUGUAAGAGAAGAACGAGUGUGAGAGUGGAAAGUUCACACU
rnacentral:rRNA from 1 species